rfam:Brachypodium distachyon strain Bd21 chromosome 1, whole genome shotgun sequence.
UUGAUACUCCUUCCGUCCAACAAAAGAUGUCUAAAAUUUAUCAAAAUUUGGAUGUAUCUUAGUGUAUAGAUGCGUUCAAAUUUAGUCAAAAUUAAGACAUCCUUUGUUGAACGUAGGGAGUAUUUA